rnacentral:misc_RNA from 1 species
AUCGUCUUGCCCCCAAACCACUCACGCCUGAGAAGUUGUGCCGGUUUGGGGCGGAAAUUGGCCUCCCGUACCUUGUCGUGCGGUUGGCGGAAAAACGAGUCUCCGGCGUCGGACGUCGCGACAUCGGUGGUUGUAAAAGACCCUCUUGUCUUGUCGUGCGAAUCCUCGUCAUCUUAGCGAGCUUCAGGACCCUGAGGCAGCACACACUCUGUGCGCUUCGA